CAGUCGCCGCGGUAAAACAGAGGGUGCAAGCGUUAAUUGGAAUUACUGGGCGUAAAGCGCGCGUAGGUGGUUUGUUAAGUUGGAUGUGAAAGCCCCGGGCUCAACCUGGGAACUGCAUCCAAAACUGGCAAGCUAGAGUACGGUAGAGGGUGGUGGAAUUUCCUGUGUAGCGGUGAAAUGCGUAGAUAUAGGAAGGAACACCAGUGGCGAAGGCGACCACCUGGACUGAUACUGACACUGAGGUGCGAAAGCGUGGGGAGCAAACAGGAUUAGAUACCCCUAGUCCCUGUCUCUUAUACAC
rnacentral:rRNA from 1 species